GCAUUAGUAGUUCAGUGGUAUAGUUCUUACCUUUCAUGCAGGAAACCUGGGUUCAAUUCUCGGCCAAUGCA
rnacentral:tRNA from 1 species